rnacentral:tRNA from 1 species
GUCAGUGUGGUGUAGUGGUUUGAAUGAUGGACUAUGGCUCAGGAGACCAGGGUUCAAAUCCCUGCUCAAGCA